UACGUAGGUGGCGAGCGUUGUCCGGAUUUACUGGGCGUAAAGAGCGCGCAGGCGGCCGUGCAAGUCGCGUGUGAAAGCCCCCGGCUCAACUGGGGAGGGUCACGCGAUACUGCUCGACUUGAAGGCAGGAGAGGGAAGUGGAAUUCCCGGUGUAGUGGUGAAAUGCGUAGAUAUCGGGAGGAACACCAGUGGCGAAGGCGACUUCCUGGCCUGUUCUUGACGCUGAGGCGCGAAAGCUAGGGUAGCAAACGGG
rnacentral:rRNA from 1 species